rnacentral:rRNA from 1 species
GACGAAGGUGGCGAGCGUUGUUCGGAAUUACUGGGCGUAAAGCGCACGUAGGCGGCUUUGUAAGUUAGAGGUGAAAGCCCAGGGCUCAACCCUGGAAUUGCCUUUAAGACUGCAUCGCUUGAACAUCGGAGAGGUAAGUGGAAUUCCGAGUGUAGAGGUGAAAUUCGUAGAUAUUCGGAAGAACACCAGUGGCGAAGGCGACUUACUGGACGAUUGUUGACGCUGAGGUGCGAAAGCGUGGGGAGCAAACAGG